UACGUAGGAAGCAAGCGUUGUCCGGAAUCACUGGGCGUAAAGCGCGUGUAGGCGGAUGGGCAAGUCUGCUGUGAAAGCGCCUGGCUUAACCGGGCGAGGUCGGUGGAAACUGCUCGUCUUGAGGUCGGUAGAGGCAGAUGGAAUUCCCGGUGUAGUGGUGAAAUGCGUAGAGAUUAGGAAGAACACCAGUGGCGAAGGCGGUCAACUGGUCCAUUACUGACACUAAAGCACGAAAGCGUGGGUAGCGAACAGG
rnacentral:rRNA from 1 species